GCCAACAGCCAUAUCACCCUGCAAGUCACAACUGGCAACCCACUGAAGCUAAGCAGGUGUGAGCCUGGUCAGUAGCUGGAUGGGAGUCCUCCUGGGAAAAACUACAGUUGCUGCUGGAA
ensembl:rRNA 5S_rRNA 5S ribosomal RNA